rnacentral:rRNA from 1 species
UACGAAGGUCCCAAGCGUUGUUCGGAAUCACUGGGCGUAAAGGGAGCGUAGGCGGCGUGGUAAGUCAGAUGUGAAAUCCCGGGGCUCAACCCCGGAACUGCAUCCGAUACUGCCAUGCUUGAGGGUUGGAGAGGUAGCUGGAAUUCUCGGUGUAGCAGUGAAAUGCGUGGAUAUCGAGAGGAACACCGGUGGCGAAGGCGGCCUUCUGGACAGUGACCGACGCUGAGACGCGAAAGCGUGGGGAGCAAACAGG